rnacentral:rRNA from 1 species
AACGAACGCUGGCGGCAGGCUUAACACAUGCAAGUCGAACGCCCCGCCAGGGGAGUGGCAGACGGGUGAGUAACGCGUGGGAACAUACCCUUUUCUACGGAAUAGCUCUGGGAAACUGGAAUUAAUACCGUAUACGCCCUACGGGGAAAGAUUUAUCGGGGAAGGAUUGGCCCGCGUUGGAUUAGCUAGUUGGUGGGGUAAAGGCCUACCAAGGCGACGAUCCAUAGCUGGUCUGAGAGGAUGAUCAGCCACAUUGGGACUGAGACACGGCCCAAACUCCUACGGGAGGCAGCAGUGGGGAAUAUUGGACAAUGGGCGCAAGCCUGAUCCAGCCAUGCCGCGUGAGUGAUGAAGGCCUUAGGAUUGUAAAGCUCUUUCACCGAUGAAGAUAAUGACGGUAGUCGGAGAAGAAGCCCCGGCUAACUUCGUG